UACGUAGGCAGCAAGCGUUGUUCGGAGUUACUGGGCGUAAAGGGUGUGUAGGCGGUUCUUUAAGUUUGCUGUGAAAUCUCCCGGCUUAACCGGGAGGGUGCGGUGAAUACUGAGGGACUAGAGUACGGGAGAGGAAAGUGGAAUUCCUGGUGUAGCGGUGGAAUGCGCAGAUAUCAGGAGGAACACCGAUGGCGAAGGCAGCUCGCUGGGACGGUACUGACGCUGAGGUGCGAAAGCGUGGGGAGCGAACAGG
rnacentral:rRNA from 1 species